UGGGGAAUAUUGCACAAUGGGCGCAAGCCUGAUGCAGCCAUGCCGCGUGUGUGAAGAAGGCCUUCGGGUUGUAAAGCACUUUCAGCGAGGAGGAAGGGUAGUGUGUUAAUAGCACAUUGCAUUGACGUUACUCGCAGAAGAAGCACCGGCUAACUCCGUGCCAGCAGCCGCGGUAAUACGGAGGGGGCAAUCGUUAAUCGGAAUUACUGGGCGUAAAGCGCACGCAGGCGGUUUGUUAAGUCAGAUGUGAAAUCCCCGCGCUUAACGUGGGAACUGCAUUUGAAACUGGCAAGCUAGAGUCUUGUAGAGGGGGGUAGAAUUCCAGGUGUAGCGGUGAAAUGCGUAGAGAUCUGGAGGAAUACCGGUGGCGAAGGCGGCCCCCUGGACAAAGACUGACGCUCAGGUGCGAAAGCGUGGGGAGCAAACA
rnacentral:rRNA from 1 species